CAAUGCGGACAAUCGCUAUGGUAUCAUAGAGGAAAGUCCACACUACCACAGACUGAGAAGUCCGUGCCAAAAGGAUCGAGCCUCUCGCAAGGGAGGGCGGGGUAACCCGACGGCGGGGAAAGUAUUCUUGAAUCAAGGCAUGAGUACCCUGAAAGUGCAACAGAGACGAGCUUCACUGGUGACAGUGAAGAUGGAACGAUUGUAAACCCCUCGAUGUAGAAACCCAAAUUACGGUAGGGGAACCCCCUUAAGGGAAUUGAACUGGCGGGGGACCAGAAAUGGUAGACAGAUGAUUGUUAAAAACAGAAAGUGGCUUACAACA
rnacentral:RNase_P_RNA from 1 species